rnacentral:rRNA from 1 species
GAGACACGGCCCAGACUCCUACGGGAGGCAGCAGUGGGGAAUAUUGCACAAUGGGCGCAAGCCUGAUGCAGCAACGCCGCGUGGAGGAAGACGGUUUUCGGAUUGUAAACUCCUGUUCUUAGUGAAGAAUAAUGACGGUAGCUAAGGAGCAAGCCACGGCUAACUACGUGCCAGCAGCCGCGGUAAUACGUAGGUGGCAAGCGUUGUCCGGAAUUACUGGGUGUAAAGGGAGCGCAGGCGGGGGAGCAAGUCAGCUGUGAAAUCCAUGGGCUUAACCCGUGAACUGCAGUUGAAACUGUUCUUCUUGAGUGAAGUAGAGGUUGGCGGAAUUCCGAGUGUAGCGGUGAAAUGCGUAGAUAUUCGGAGGAACACCGGUGGCGAAGGCGGCCAACUGGGCUUUUACUGACGCUGAGGCUCGAAAGUGUGGGGAGCAAACAGGAUUAGAUACCCUGGUAGUCCACACUGUAAACGAUGAUAACUAGGUGUAGGGGGUCUGACCCCUUCUGUGCCGCAGCUAACGCAAUAAGUUAUCCACCUGGGGAGUACGACCGCAAGGUUGAAACUCAAAGGAAUUGACGGGGACCCGCACAAGCAGUGGAUUAUGUGGUUUAAUUCGAAGCAACGCGAAGAACCUUACCAGCACUUGACAUCCAACUAACGAAAUAGAGAUAUAUUAGGUGCCCUUCGGGGAAAGUUGAGACAGGUGGUGCAUGGUUGUCGUCAGCUCGUGUCGUGAGAUGUUGGGUUAAGUCCCGCAACGAGCGCAACCCCUGCCAUUAGUUGCUACGCAAGAGCACUCUAAUGGGACCGCUACCGACAAGGUGGAGGAAGGUGGGGAUGACGUCAAAUCAUCAUGCCCCUUAUGUGCUGGGCUACACACGUAAUACAAUGGUCGUUAACAAAGAGAAGCAAUACCGCGAGGUGGAGCAAAACUUCAAAAACGAUCUCAGUUCGGACUGCAGGCUGCAACUCGCCUGCACGAAGUUGGAAUUGCUAGUAAUCGUGGAUCAGCAUGCCACGGUGAAUACGUUCCCGGGUCUUGUACACACCGCCCGUCACACCAUGGGAGCCGGUAAUACCCGAAGUCAGUAGUCUAACCUUUAUGGAGGACGCUGCCGAAGGUAGGAUUGGCGACUGGGGUGAAGUCGUAACAAGGUAGCCGUAGGAGAACCUGCGGCUG